ACUGUCUCUAAUUAAUUUUUAUUUUAAUUUAAUUUUUAAGUUAAAAAGCUUAAAUUUUUUUAAAGGACGAGAAGACCCUAUAGAGUUUUAUAAUUAUUUAUAUAUUAUAUUUAAUUUAUUAUUAUAUUUAAUUAAUUAUUUUAUUGGGGUGAUAGAAAAAUUAAUUAAACUUUUUUAUAAUUUUUACAUAAAUUAAUGAAUAUUUUGAUCCUUAUUUU
rnacentral:rRNA from 1 species